AUUGAACGCUGGCGGCGUGCUUAACACAUGCAAGUCGAGCGGUAACAGGCGUAGCAAUACGUGCUGACGAGCGGCGAACGGGUGCGUAAUACAUGGGAAUCUGCCCUUUGGUGGGGAAUAACCCGGCGAAAGCCGGGCUAAUGCCGCAUAAGAUCUUCGGAUGAAAGCGGGGGAUCGUAAGACUUCGCGCCGAUGGAUGAGCCCAUGUCGGAUUAGCUAGUUGGUGAGGUAACGGCUCACCAAGGCGACGAUCCGUAGCUGGUCUGAGAGGACGGCCAGCCACACUGGGACUGAGACACGGCCCAGACUCCUACGGGAGGCAGCAGUGGGGAAUAUUGGACAAUGGGCGAAAGCCUGAUCCAGCGACGCCGCGUGUGUGAAGAAGGCCUGCGGGUUGUAAAGCACUUUCGAUGGGAACGAAAUGUGUCGGGCUAAUACCCCGGCAAGCUGACGUUACUCAAUGAAGAAGCACCGGCUAACUCUGUGCCAGCCGCCGCCGUAA
rnacentral:rRNA from 1 species